GUCACUUUGCCGGAGUGGUUAACGGGAUCGCCUGCUAUUUCGAUAGCUCCCAGCGGUUGGGCUAUGCCCGCGAGUGUUCGAAUCGCUCAGGUGACG